CGUUCCUUCCGCAAUGGUAAAAAAAAGAAAAGAAUAGGGUGCGAUUCUUCCCGCCUGAGACAAUCUUUCUAC
rnacentral:tRNA from 1 species